UCCAGGGUAGCCGAGUGGACAAGGCACUGCCCGGUAAGAGGAAGGGUGUGGGUUCGAUUCCGCCCCUUGGAC